AACAAACGCUGGCGGCGUGUCUUAAGCAUGCAAGUUGAGCGGCAAGGAGGAGGAAUCCUCCCUAGAGCGGCGGACUGGUGAGUAACGCGUGGGUAAUCUAUCAUAGGCAUGGGGAUAGUCACUAGAAAUAGUGAGUAAUACCGAAUACGUUCCAUGAGGGGAGGACUCAUGGAAGAAAGGGUGCUACGGCACUGGCCUUAGGUGAGCUCGCGUCCCAUCAGCUGGUUGGUAGGGUAAAGGCCUACCAAGGCAAUGACGGGUAGGGGACCUGAGAGGGUGGCCCCCCACAAUGGAACUGAAACACGGUCCAUACACCUACGGGUGGCAGCAGUAGGGAAUAUUAGAAAUGGACGAAAGUCUGAUCUAGCAACACCGCGUGUGCGAAGAAGGCCUUCGGGUCGUAAAGCACUUUUUGGUAAGGAAUAGGAAGGAAUGUACUUCCAGAAUAAGUCUCGGCUAACUACGUGCCAGCAGCCGCGGUAACUAGUCUACG
rnacentral:rRNA from 1 species